rnacentral:rRNA from 1 species
GACGAACGCUGGCGGCGUGCUUAACACAUGCAAGUCGAACGGAAAGGCCCUGCUUUUGUGGGGUGCUCGAGUGGCGAACGGGUGAGUAACACGUGAGUAACCUGCCCUUGACUUUGGGAUAACUUCAGGAAACUGGGGCUAAUACCGGAUAGGAGCUCCUGUUGCAUGGUGGGGGUUGGAAAGUUUCGGCGGUUGGGGAUGGACUCGCGGCUUAUCAGCUUGUUGGUGGGGUAGUGGCUUACCAAGGCUUUGACGGGUAGCCGGCCUGAGAGGGUGACCGGCGACAUGAGGACUGAGAGACGGAGCAGACUCGUACGGGAGGCAGCAGUGGGGAAUAUUGCACAAUGGGCGGGAGCCUGAUGCAGCAACGCCGCGUGCGGGAUGACGGCUUACGGGUUGUAAACCGCUUUCGCCUGUGACGAAGCGUGAGUGACGGUAAUGAGUAAAGAAGCACCGGCUAACUACGUG